UUUGAACGCUGGCGGCAUGCUUUACACAUGCAAGUCGAACGGCAGCGCGGGCUUCGGCCUGGCGGCGAGUGGCGAACGGGUGAGUAAUACAUCGGAACGUGCCCAGUAGUGGGGGAUAGCUCGGCGAAAGCCGGAUUAAUACCGCAUACGACCUGAGGGUGAAAGCGGGGGAUCUUCGGACCUCGCGCUAUUGGAGCGGCCGAUGGCAGAUUAGCUAGUUGGUGGGGUAAAGGCCUACCAAGGCGACGAUCUGUAGCUGGUCUGAGAGGACGACCAGCCACACUGGGACUGAGACACGGCCCAGACUCCUACGGGAGGCAGCAGUGGGGAAUUUUGGACAAUGGGCGAAAGCCUGAUCCAGCAAUGCCGCGUGUGUGAUGAAGGCCUUCGGGUUGUAAAGCACUUUUGGCGGGAACGAAAAGGACUGUGCCAAUACCACGGUUCGAUGACGGUACCCGCAGAAUAAGCACCGGCUAACUACGUG
rnacentral:rRNA from 1 species